rnacentral:lncRNA from 1 species
UGUUGAAGUACCAAUUGGUCCAAAAAGCAGGAGAGUUGCUGUAUAGCAGAACCCUUCAAGCAUUCCCUAGAGAACGGAAAGCCACCACUCAAGUCCACCACCAGUGUGCUUUGAUUAACAGGUGAGGGAAUAGGUAGUAUCUCCUAUUCUCUCUGGUGAAGACUGCAAAUGCUGGGCAUCAGAGUGGUGCUCCUCCUGAAGCAGGAGGAACUGCUGUUUGGUGUCUCCCACCCACAACGAGCACAGCAAGGUCUGGCUCCUUGUGUGAGGAGGGUGCUCACCAGUCUGGGAGAAGCUGGACAGUUCAAUUGCUGAUAUGUUAGAUAGUGACUAAAAGAAAUGUAAGAAAAUGGAGAGAAAAUAUCCCAUUUAGCUUAAAAAUAAUAAAUUGUAGGAAGGUACUAUAGGCAGGCAGAUCGUGACAUGCUCUGAUGCCUGCUACCCCGCAGCAGGAUCAUCAGCCCUUAUUUGAAAUGAUCUGUAUUCUGGAUUUCCAAUGGAAUAAACCAGCUAGUUACCAGUGUGCCAAGUGAGAUCGAUUAAGAAUUGAAACAGUUUGUGUCUGCAGAUGUGCUGUGCACAGUCAAUUAUACAGGCAUCAAUAUUUCAUUAAAUCAAGACUAGUGUUUGUAUGGACACUUUGAUUACAGAUGUUAUUCAGUUUAGAGUUUUUCUGGCGGUCCUUUUGUUUGCUACAGGCAUACAUGAGCACAGCACAGUUUCUUUGUGCUUGGGCAGGCAGAAAUUGGGUGGGAGGCCUGUACCUCAGGAGAGGGAAAGGAAGGUUUAGGGAAGAGUUCCUACAAUUAUUUCAGUAUGUUACAAAAGUGAUCCAAGUCCCAGGGGAAUGGGAAGGGAAGCUGCAAUGCUGCAGUGCUCUGCAACCUACUGGAGAUGUGACCCAGGUCACUUCAGGCAAAGAAGGAAAACAUCAUUCUUGCAUUUCAGGUAGAUGCAGGUUGUGGCCUCCUUUAAGUAAAGGUUUCCUGGCUGUGGGUUCCAAACAGGGAUGGCUGCUUCAUUUUCGUCCAGAGACUGCAACCAAACAGUGUUUCCACUUGAAGUAUGGAUGUCUACCUGCCUGAUGAGACCUCUUUACACCACAUCUUGGCAAGCUGCACCAUGGCUGAGUGCUGGUGGUGGUUGAGUGCCUGUGCACACGAGGGCUUUGUCUACCUGAAGCUCCCCUGCUGAUUUUCUGACUUCCAGCUGAUCCUUUGGAAGCGGAGGCUUAAGUAUUGAACUCUGUAUUUAUUUCCCUUCUCUGAUUGCACCAUGCUGUGAAAUAUAUUUGAAUAGAUAACAUCUGGUGUGGCUUCCAUAGCCAGGUUAUGCAACAUGGGUAAUGUGCAUGCAUAAUGGGCUAUUCCUGUAAUAAAUUUGUGUAAGUAUACCA